rnacentral:rRNA from 1 species
GUAGGUGGCAAGCGUUAUCCGGAAUUAUUGGGCGUAAAGCGCGCGCAGGCGGUUUCUUAAGUCUGAUGUGAAAGCCCACGGCUCAACCGUGGAGGGUCAUUGGAAACUGGGGAACUUGAGUGCAGAAGAGAAAAGCGGAAUUCCACGUGUAGCGGUGAAAUGCGUAGAGAUGUGGAGGAACACCAGUGGCGAAGGCGGCUUUUUAGGUCUGUAACUGACGCUGAGGCGCGAAAGCGUGGGGAGCAAACAGGGAUUAGAUACCCUGGUAGUCCACGCCGUAAACGAUGAGUGCUAAGUGUUAGAGGGUUUCCGCCCCUUUAGUGCUGCAGCUAACGCAUUAAGCACUCCGCCUGGGAGUACGGUCGCAAGACUG